UAGAAAACAAAUAAUGAAUGUUUUUAUUCGUGCAAUGGUAAGAAUAUUUUCAUUCGGUGAAAGAUGGAAUGUUCCAUUCAACUCGGCUGUCGCCUCGUUGAAUGGAACAUUCCAUCAUUCACCUCAUGAAAAUAUUCUUACCAUUGCACGAAUAAAAACAUUCAUUAUUUGUAUAUUA
rnacentral:miRNA from 1 species